rnacentral:misc_RNA from 1 species
UAUCAGAGACAACUUAUUCUUACAUGGUGAAUAGCUAUCAGAGUAGGCAUCAAAACUUCCCGGCCUUAGCUUUGGUGAGCUCAUUGACCUUGCUUUUGCCUUUGCAGACUCUGUUGCAGCCAUGUAAGUUGGGAAAACCGGAGAAUUCAAGGGAGAACUGUCAUAUCCUUCGGUAUUCCGUUGUGUGCGACAAAAUGAUCUUCUUGGAAAUGAUACUGGUGAAUUCAAUCCUUCUAUGGAAUCUUGUUUCCGUGAACUUCUCGUUUUGACUUGUACUGCACCAAAUAUGUCACCAGUGGAUGGAUCAGAAACGGUAGUUGCUUUCAAAUUCUCUAUCCGUCCUCUAGCGAAUGUAUCUUUGUCCACCAAUUGUUCCAACCAGUGGCUCUGUCUACCAGUUUCCUUGUUGGGUAGUGAUUCUUCCAGCAUACCAGUGUUUCUCCUCUCCUGAAAUAGAUAAUAAUGUAGCACAAUCUGAACAUGAGAAAUGAAGCUUAAUGUUUCAUUUAAUUCCCUGUGAUCAGCAAGGGAAGGAGGGAACAACAGAAAACAGAUGGCAUAUAAGAUAAAGUUACCCGGUGAGAAAAUGAGUAUGUCAUCAUUCGGUCUCUUUUGAUGCUAGCCUCUUGCUUCCUGAACCAUAGGCUUUCUGUGUCUUCCUUUGAAAGCAUACUGUAAUCCCAGCAUCUUUGGCUUUUGCAUUCAAGCAUUUCAAUUGAUUCUAGAUCUUUUUUCUGGUUCUUCCCCUGCACAUAUUAAUACAAAAGUAAUCGUUAAAUUGCAUGAAACCUACUCUUUCAUUUCAAUUACCUUCCACAAGCAGUGUUUCAAGAUUGAAUUUCAGCUGUUAUUUCACAUUAUUCCUCAUAAUUUGCUUCCGAAUUCUCUCCAAAAGACAUUUCAAGAGAAGGGAAAAGAAAACUUCUAAAAUCAUCUCACCUACCUUACUGUCCAUGUCUCCCAACUCCUUGGAUAAUUGUUUUUUUCCACCUCCUUUACAAAUGUUAUCUAUAUUAGGAAUCCUUUUCGAUUGGACCUGUGAUUGCAUCUUCUUCACAUUGGAUGGCAAAUGCUUCAGUUUCAUGACUACUUGUCGUCUCACAGCUUGUCCUCGGACAAUGGCUUGAAGCCUCACUAGUCCCUUCAAUGCUCGCAAAGCUUUCCUCGCAAGAUAUCCACGGAAAGCACUCUGUACUUUAAUGGCAGCAAAGUUUUCAUCUUUCUUGGUGAAAUGAAGACGAGACUGAGAAGAACCAGUGAGCCUAACAACCUCAGCUGCAGCCUGAACAGCAGCAACUGCAACCUCAGCCGCAGCUGCAGUCGCCAGGGCUACACUCACAGAAAACUUUCUCUGCUUUUCUUUUGCUUCAUCGAUUGUCCUCUGAGGUGAUGGCAGGCUUGGAAGCGCAGGGCGUUGUUUAAACUUUAGCCUUCCAAGAAUCCAUCUCCACCUUUUAGAUUUCUUCUCUGUUUUUGGAUUUUCCUCAGAAGCAAACAUCCUUUUGAACCAAACAAACCAGCAAGUCUUCUUUGCCAUGGAAGAUAUUAUAAAAUCAAAUUAAACCAUUUUAAGAAACUUCAUAUUCUUCUUCUUAUUCUUUUUCUAUUGUUAAAAGAACUGCAUCUAUGCAAACCUGAAAUCUCAACAACCCACAAACACCUUAACCAAAUGUACUAAAGAAACAGAAACAUAAAUUUCAAUUCAAGAAAAAGGAAUCAAUCUUUGAAUCUUGAACCCCAGUUCAUGGCGAAGAAAGCAGAGGAUAAUCCAUUGAAAAGUGUGUAUAGAUAAGUGCGUAGGUGAGAGAGAGAGAGAGAGCAAUAUCUAGGGGCCGUGACUGUGACUCUG